AUUGAACGCUGGCGGCAGGCCUAACACAUGCAAGUCGAACGAGUGGCGGACGGGUGAGUAAUGUCUGGGAAACUGCCUGAUGGAGGGGGAUAACUACUGGAAACGGUAGCUAACACCGCAUACCAUCAGAUGUGCCCAGAUGGGAUUAGCUUGUUGGUGGGGUAACGGCUCACCAAGGCGACGAUCCCUAGCUGGUCUGAGAGGAUGACCACCCACACUGGGACUGAGACACGGUCCAGACUCCUACGGGAGGCAGCAGUGGGGAAUGUUGCACAAAGGGCGCAAGCCGAAAUCAGCCCGGCCGCGUGUAUGAAGAAGGCCUUCGGGUUGUGAAGUACUUUCAGCGGGGAGGCGUUACCCGCAGAAGAAGCACCGGCUAACUCCGUGCCAGCAGCCGCGGUAAUUC
rnacentral:rRNA from 1 species